CCUACGGGCGGCAGCAGUGGGGAAUAUUGGACAAUGGGGGCAACCCUGAUCCAGCCAUGCCGCGUGUGUGAAGAAGGCCCUCGGGUUGUAAAGCACUUUCAGUGAGGAAGAACGCCUGGUGGUUAAUACCCAUCAGGAAAGACAUCACUCACAGAAGAAGCACCGGCUAACUCCGUGCCAGCAGCCGCGGUAAUACGGAGGGUGCGAGCGUUAAUCGGAAUUACUGGGCGUAAAGCGCGCGUAGGUGGCUUGAUAAGCCGGUUGUGAAAGCCCCGGGCUCAACCUGGGAACGGCAUCCGGAACUGUCAAGCUAGAGUGCAGGAGAGGAAGGUAGAAGUCCCGGUGUAGCGGUGAAAUGCGUAGAGAUCGGGAGGAAUACCAGUGGCGAAGGCGGCCUUCUGGACUGACACUGACACUGAGGUGCGAAAGCGUGGGUAGCAAACAGGAUUAGAUACCCGAGUAGUC
rnacentral:rRNA from 1 species